rnacentral:rRNA from 1 species
UAUGUGAUCGUCUCUCGCAUAUCAAUAAGCGGAGGAAAAGAAACUAACAAGGGUUCCCCUAGUAACGGCGAGUGAAGCGGGAAGAGCUCAAAUUUGAAAUCUUAAAGGGUUUCCCUUUACGAAUUGUAGUUUAAAGAAGUGUUUUCUGUUGAGGUUUUGGUAAAAGUUCUUUGGAAUAGGACAUCAUAGAGGGUGAGAAUCCCGUAUUUGACCUUUACUUUCAACUUUGUGAUACACUUUCAAAGAGUCGGAUUGUUUGGGAAUGCAGUCCAAAAUGGGUGGUAAAUUUCAUCUAAAGCUAAAUAUUGGCGAGAGACCGAUAGCGAACAAGUACCGUGAGGGAAAGAUGAAAGGAACUUUGAAAAGAGAGUUAAACAGUACGUGAAAUUGUCAAAAGGGAAGCGUUUGACACCAGUGUUGUUUUUCUGAAAAUCAAUUAAAGAACUGUUUAUGCUAAGCUGUUUAGACUUUAUCAGCUAUCUGUUUAGUUUUGAGCUUUUCUUUAAUGCACUUUUCAGUUAACAAGUCAACAUCAAUUUCUUUUGCUGUAAAAAAGCUUGAGGAAGGUGGCUUGAGAUUCGUCUUAAGUGUUUAUAGCCUCUUGCCUAUGCAGUCGGAGAGAUUGAGGUCUGCAGCGUAGAUCCUUCGGGACUAAAUGCAUUUGUGCUAAGUUAUAGCAUUUUAUAGACAACUUGUUGACUAUGAUUUGUCUUGUAGCUUACUCGCUUAUGUUAUUUUACCUACGCUUAGGAUGUUGACGAGACUGUCGAUCUC